GACGAACGCUGGCGGCGUGCUUAACACAUGCAAGUCGAACGAAGUGGCGAACGGGUGAGUAACGCGUAAUCAACCUGCCCUUCAGAGGGGGACAACAGUUGGAAACGACUGCUAAUACCGCAUACUGAAGGAGGUGAUUGCGGUUGAUUAGCUAGUUGGGGGGGUAACGGCCCACCAAGGCGAUGAUCAGUAGGCGGUCUGGGAGGGUGGACGGGCACAAUGGGAAUGGGACACGGGCCAGACUCCUACGGGAGGCAGCAGGGGGGGAACUUCCGGCAUGGGAGGAAGUCUGACGGAGCAACGGCGGGGGGGGGAUGACGGCCUUCGGGUUGGAAAACUCUGUUAAUCGGGACGCGGUACCGGAAUAGAAAGCCACGGCUAACUACGUGCCAGCAGCCGCGGUAAUAC
rnacentral:rRNA from 1 species